UACGGAGGGGGCUAGCGUUGUUCGGAAUUACUGGGCGUAAAGCGCGCGUAGGCGGACCUGCAAGUCGGGGGUGAAAGCCCGAGGCUCAACCUCGGAACUGCCUUCGAUACUGCGGGUCUCGAGUCCGGGAGAGGUGAGUGGAAUUCCUAGUGUAGAGGUGAAAUUCGUAGAUAUUAGGAAGAACACCAGUGGCGAAGGACGGCUGCACUGGCCCGGUACUGACGCUGAGGCGCGAAAGCGUGGGGAGCAAACAGG
rnacentral:rRNA from 1 species